rnacentral:rRNA from 1 species
UACCGGCGGCUCGAGUGGUGGCCACUAUUACUGGGCUUAAAGCGUUCGUAGCUGGUUUGUUAAGUCUCUGGUGAAAUCUUCCGGCUUAACCGGAAGGCGUCUCAGGGAUACUGGCAGACUAGGGACCGGGAGAGGUGAGGGGUACUCCAGGGGUAGGAGUGAAAUCCUGUAAUCCUUGGGGGACCACCUGUGGCGAAGGCGCCUCACCAGAACGGCUCCGACAGUGAGGGACGAAAGCUGGGGGAGCAAACCGG